rfam:Ovis aries breed Texel chromosome 10, whole genome shotgun sequence.
UCCCUGGUGGUCCAGUUGUUAAGACUCUGUACUUCCAAUGCAGUGGGCCCAAGUUCGAUUCCUGGUCAGGGAA